UACGGAGGGGGCUAGCGUUGUUCGGAAUUACUGGGCGUAAAGCGCGCGUAGGCGGAUCUGCACGUCGGGGGUGAAAUCCCGAGGCUCAACCUCGGAACUGCCUUCGAUACUGCGGGUCUCGAGUCCGGGAGAGGUGAGUGGAAUUCCUAGUGUAGAGGUGAAAUUCGUAGAUAUUAGGAAGAACACCAGUGGCGAAGGCGGCUCACUGGCCCGGUACUGACGCUGAGGCGCGAAAGCGUGGGGAGCAAACAGG
rnacentral:rRNA from 1 species